CAGCAGCCACGGUAAUACGUAGGGUGCAAGCGUUACUCGGAAUUACUGGGCGUGAAGCGUGCGUAGGUGGUGGUUUAAGUCCGUUGUGAAAGCCCUGGGCUCAACCUGGGAAUUGCAGUGGAUACUGGAUCACUAGAGUGUGGUAGAGGAUAGUGGAAUUUCCGGUGUAGCAGUGAAAUGCGUAGAGAUCGGAGGGAACAUCUGUGGCGAAGGCGACUAUCUGGGCCAACACUGACACUGAGGCACGAAAGCGUGGGGAGCAAACAGGAUUAGAUACCCCUGUAGUCCCUGUCUCUUAUAC
rnacentral:rRNA from 1 species